AGCUCUGCACAGUGCCGGUAUGGUAGCCAAUGAGGUUUAUCCGAGGCGCGAUUAUUGCUAAUUGAAAACUUUUCCCAAGCAGGAAGAGGAGUUUCUGAAGUUGUUCAGCAUUUAGGAUAUCAUCGUAUGA
rfam:Heterocephalus glaber contig198528, whole genome shotgun sequence.